UGGGCUUGACAUCCCACGAACCUUGCCGAAAGGCAGGAGUGCCCGCAAGGGAGCGCGGAGACAGGUGGUGCAUGGCUGUCGUCAGCUCGUGUCGUGAGAUGUUGGGUUAAGUCCCGCAACGAGCGCAACCCUCACCCCUUGUUGCCAUCAGGUCAUGCUGGGGACUCUAGGGGAACUGCCCCGGUCAACGGGGAGGAAGGCGGGGAUGACGUCAAGUCAUCAUGCCCCUUACGCCCUGGGCUACACACGUGCUACAAUGGCCGGUACAAAGGGAUGCGAGACCGCGAGGUGUAGCCAAACCCAAAAAGCCGGUCUAAGUUCAGAUUGGAGUCUGCAACUCGACUCCAUGAAGGAGGAAUCGCUAGUAAUCGCCCAUCAGCACGGGGCGGUGAAUACGUUCCCGGGCCCUGUACACACCGCCCGUCACACCACGAAAGUCAGCUGUACUCGAAGUCGCUGAGAAUCUC
rnacentral:rRNA from 1 species